GACGAACGCUGGCGGCGUGCCUAACACAUGCAAGUCAACGGGGUGAAGCCCUUCGGGACUUCACUUAGUGGCGAACGGGUGAGUAACGCGUGAGGAACCUGCCUUUCAGUGGGGGACAACAGUUGGAAACGACUGCUAAUACCGCAUAACACUUUUUGGGGACAUCCCUAAAAAGUCAAAGCUUUAUGUGCUGAAAGAUGGACCCGCGGCGCAUUAGCUAGUUGGUGAGGUAAUGGCCCACCAAGGCGACGAUGCGUAGCCGACCUGAGAGGGUGAUCGGCCACAUUGGAACUGAGACACGGUCCAGACUCCUACGGGAGGCAGCAGUGGGGAAUAUUGCACAAUGGGGGAAACCCUGAUGCAGCAACGCCGCGUGAGUGAUGACGGUCUUCGGAUUGUAAAGCUCUGUCUUUAGGGACGAUAAUGACGGUACCUAAGGAGGAAGCCACGGCUAACUACGUG
rnacentral:rRNA from 1 species